rnacentral:lncRNA from 1 species
CUCAUCCUACCAUAAGUAACAAAGAAAAUAUUUCCAACAUUCUCAUCGGUUGCUACACUAGCUUCAACGGACUCAGUAGUUUUCUCAAUAAUUUUUUUUCUUUUCCUUUAAUUUAUUUUUUAAUUUAAAGCAAUCAGCCUUAAUGUGUCCCAUUUUAUGACUAUAUCUGCACUCCAAAUUUCUAUAUUUGGAUUUAGAUCUAGAUUUAGAUCUACUACUAUCAAAUUCCCUUUUAUCCGUUCUACC